GAUCCCUAUCAUUAGUUACAGGUAACUAAAGUAUUUGAUUGAUGUUCUUUAGUUUCUUAUGAAAAUUAUUAGUAUUCCAUAUCGUUUUCUAGCAUUUCAUAGUGUCUUUUUUACAUAUUCUACUUUCUUCCCUUCCUGUUAAGGAUGAAUUGAUUAUCUUAUCUAUUGUGUAGAGAUGGGGACAUAUCCCAUGCCCAUAUAUAUAUAUAUAUAUAUAUAUAUAGAGAGAGAGAGAGAGAGAGAGAGAGAGAGAGAGAAGAAGAAGAAGAAGAAGAAGAAGAAGAAGAAGAAGUUGCUUUAGGACUUGUAAUAAUUUUUGAAGCAAUUCAGCUAAAAACUUUGAGACAGGAUUCAUAUUAAAAUUGUUUGGAAUUUUCUUACUGCGUUGCUGGUGGAAGGCUCUAAGAAUAUUUGGCAACGUUUUUUCCAAGUUCUGACCAAACUAAUUUGCCAAUGCAACGCCAAUCUGCCGCGCCCGUCGACGUUGGAUCAUCACUGCGCAGAUCUCGAAGCAUUCCGAACUGCUGCACAGAUCUUAAAGUGAAAUGGGGACGGGCCGGACGGUACGACGGAACGUGUGCGAAGGAUACAACCGGGAUCCCUCGGCCACGCGCGAAUCUUCACAUGGCUCAGUGAAUCGGACGGUUUCGCAUGCGACAAGACCAUCAAAUGGUCUUUUGGGCGAAACACCUAACUGGAGCUUCUUAUUUUUAUUUUCUUUUUUCCAAACCGAAGUAAAACAAAAUUAUUCCAAAAAGGAGCUUUUUUUUUUUUUUUUCUCGAUCACUUCUCAACUCCUCAUUCGCCUUUUCAAAUUUCUUUCCCGUCCGUUUCGAAAUCUCUAGUCCCGCCGCUCUCUCACUCCUUCCCCCAUCACUCGCGGAUGAUCUAGCUAGCAAUGGACUGGUUUGGAGUUAAUCUUUGAUUUCUGGUGCAGAUGGAGCGGCUCAACUCCGAUAUAUAUGAAAAGUACAAGAAUUUGAAGAAGAGGAAGUUAUUUGAUGAGGAGUGCAGCCGUAAAAGAGAUUCCGAUAUAAGGAACUAUCAAUCAGCAAAAGAGCUCUCUAAUGAAGUUGGGAGGCUUCAGAAUCUUUUGUCGCAGAAGAAUGAUGUUAAUGACAUUGCACUGCUGAGGUCUCCUAAAACAAAUCAUAGAGUCCGAUCAAGAGAGAAAUUCAGAACUCCACCAAAAAAGAAACAAAACUCAUGCACCAAGGAAAGCAGAAUCCAAGAUGAAGAGGCAGCUAUUGUUCCUUAUGGUAGUUGUCAAGAGGAGCAGAUUGUGGUUUUCAGCCAGAGUGCUGCAGAAGAUACUUGGCCUGCUCAGGAGAUGCAGCAGGAAAAAGGUCAGAACGAUUGUGUGUUUCAGACUCUUGUUGAGUUCUUAGUUGGCAUGGAAUUUUCCAUAGACAGUCAAACCAAAGGGCUAACAUGUUCAGUUGUUCACCAAAUUACUGAAUGCGGAUGUCCAUCUGUUAGUUCUAGAAAGGAACCAACAGAAGUGUCCAAAACUGAAGAAACUACCCAGAAGUGGAAACCAAAACUGAAGAUGCAUCCAUUUGUUAGCUUUAGAAAGGAACCAACAGAAGUGGACACCAAGACUAGAAAGGAACCAACAGAAUUGGGAACCAGAACUGAUGAAACUACCGAAACUCAGAAGUGGAAACCAAAACUGAAGAAACUACUGAAACAUCUCAGUCCAGGCUUGUAUUGAAACCAUGUUCUCAAAUCUUGCUGCAAAAUUCACUUUCAUAAUACUAUAGCAGGCAGAGAUGGCAUGUCCCAACUUUUGUCCCUUGUAGCUUCAUUAGGGGACUAAAUGUUUUCAAGUUGUGAUUUCAUCUGAGCUGUUCAGCUUCCUUUAAUUGUUAUGGCACAAAAUCAUGGACUUUCUCAAGUAAGGCAGACUAAUUGAAUUUAUAGUGUGUGAGAGCUUACCUUUGUUAUCCUCAAAUGCUAUUGGACCAUGAACUCUGGUUGGCACUUGUUUUGGCUUGUGUAAGAGCUCAUUAUUGUUUUCUGACUGUAAAGAUGACUUAUAGGAAUUGUAUAACUUCAUAUCUUGCUGCAAAAUUCACAUUCAUAAUAACUAAGGUAGGCAGAGAUGGCAUAUCCUAGCUUUUAUCCCUUAUAGCUUCAUUAAGGGGCUAAAUGUUGCGAGUUGUGAUUUCAUCUGAGCUGUUCAGCUUCUUUUUAUUGCUAUGGCCUGAAAUCAUGGACUUUCUCAACAGAGGAAAACUAAUUGAAUUUACUGCCAUUCGCUAUUUUCUUCAUGUGACAUGCUUCAGUACUGUGUGAGAGCUUACCUUUGUUACCCUCAAAUCCUAUUGGACCAUGAACUAUGGUUAGCACUCGUUUUGGCAUGUGUAAGAGCUCAUUAUUGUUUUCUGACUGUAAAGAUGACCUAUAGGAAUUGUAUAACUAGUUCUCUCCCUAUUGACCUAUUUUAAUCUUCAAUUUAUGUUGAACCAGACCUUGCACAGACAAUUUAUUAUUUUACCAACCUUUCUUUGUGGUAGAUUGAGGGGUAGAGAAGCUCUAGUCCAGGGAAAAGGUUAAGCCAGAGAUGCUAAAUAGAGAGUUCUAUAUGCAUUGAGGUUUUUAUCUUUUCACAGGUUGCCUAUGCAACAUAUUUAAGCUCGCCAAUCAUGGCUACUAGAAUGUGGAGCAUAAGUUCAGCAAAUUCUGUUGCAUUUAUUGGCUAUGCUUUCAGCCUAACAUGGAUAAGACAUGAAGAUCGAGAAGGUGAGCUGAUGUACCAUGUUUCUUCACUGGGGACGCUAAAGGGAAUAGCUCUAGAUUGGAUGAAGGAAGAUAUGAUUUUCAGCAUGA